GAUGGCUCAGUUGGUUGAGCGUCUGACUUCAGCUCAGGUCAUGAUCUCACGGUUCGUGGGUUCGAGCCCCACAUCG
rnacentral:tRNA from 1 species